rnacentral:rRNA from 1 species
AUACGAAGGGUGCAAGCGUUAAUCGGAAUUACUGGGCGUAAAGCGCGCGUAGGUGGUUCGUUAAGAUGGAUGUGAAAGCCCCGGGCUCAACCUGGGAACUGCAUCCAAAACUGGCGAGCUAGAGUAUAGCAGAGGGUGGUGGAAUUUCCUGUGUAGCGGUGAAAUGCGUAGAUAUAGGAAGGAACACCAGUGGCGAAGGCGACCACCUGGGCUAAGACUGACCCUGAGGUGCAAAGGCGGGGGGAGCAAACAGGAUUAGAUACCCAGGUAGUCCACGCCGUAAACGAUGUCGACUAGCCGUUGGGAUCCUUGAGAUCUUAGUGGCGCAGCUAACGCAUUAAGUCGACCGCCUGGGGAGUACGGCCGCAAGGUUAAAACUCAAAUGAAUUGACGG